UCACCAGCGUUUAGCCUGAGCCCUGAUC
rnacentral:piRNA from 1 species